rnacentral:miRNA from 1 species
UACACACUUCUUUACAUUCCAUA